rnacentral:rRNA from 1 species
UACGGAGGGUCCAAGCGUUAUCCGGAUUUAUUGGGUUUAAAGGGCGCGCAGGCUGUUAUGCGAGUCUGCUGUGAAAUGUACCGGCUCAACCGGUGCCUUGCGGCGGAUACUGCAUAGCUGGAGUACUGGAGAGGGAAGUGGAAUUCCCAGUGUAGCGGUGAAAUGCGUAGAUAUUGGGUGGAACACCGGUGGCGUAGGAGGCUUGCUGGACAGUAACUGACGCUGAGGCGCGAAAGCCAGGGGAGCAAACGGGAUUAGAUACCCCUGUA